rnacentral:misc_RNA from 1 species
GCCUUGGCUAUCCAAAGGCGCCUGGGGCUGCUCCUGGUGAGCCUUGCGCCUGGGGCGCGCCUCUUUGAUAACAGUGGUAAUGGAGUUGAAGUCAGUUGGAAGAGUUCCAAAUAGAGUACGACUACAGGUUCCACUACAGAUGCUGAGUAUAUUGCUGCAUCAAAUACUGCAAAAGAAACUGUUUGGAUAUAAGGAACCCCAAUCUCACUAGAAAUCCAAACACAUAGAAAGGC